rnacentral:rRNA from 1 species
UACGUAGGGUGCGAGCGUUAAUCGGAAUUACUGGGCGUAAAGCGUGCGCAGGCGGUUUUGUAAGCCAGAUGUGAAAUCCCCGGGCUUAACCUGGGAAUGGCAUUUGGGACUGCAAGGCUGGAGUGUGGCAGAGGAGACUGGAAUUCCUGGUGUAGCAGUGAAAUGCGUAGAUAUCAGGAGGAAUACCGACGGCGAAGGCAGGUCUCUGGGCUGACACUGACGCUCAUGCACGAAAGCGUGGGGAGCAAACAGG